rnacentral:rRNA from 1 species
UAACAAGGUCUCCGUUGGUGAACCAGCGGAGGGAUCAUUACUGAGUUUACGCUCUACAACCCUUUGUGAACAUACCUAUAACUGUUGCUUCGGCGGGUAGGGUCUCCGUGACCCUCCCGGCCUCCCGCCCCCGGGCGGGUCGGCGCCCGCCGGAGGAUAACCAAACUCUGAUUUAACGACGUUUCUUCUGAGUGGUACAAGCAAAUAAUCAAAACUUUUAACAACGGAUCUCUUGGUUCUGGCAUCGAUGAAGAACGCAGCGAAAUGCGAUAAGUAAUGUGAAUUGCAGAAUUCAGUGAAUCAUCGAAUCUUUGAACGCACAUUGCGCCCGCCAGCAUUCGGGCGGGCAUGCCUGUUCGAGCGUCAUUUCAACCCUCAAGCUCUGCUUGGUGUUGGGGCCCUACAGCUGAUGUAGGCCCUCAAAGGUAGUGGCGGACCCUCCCGGAGCCUCCUUUGCGUAGUAACUUUACGUCUCGCACUGGGAUCCGGAGGGACUCUUGCCGUAAAACCCCCAAUUUUCCAAAGGUUGACCUCGGAUCAGGUAGGAAUACCCGC